rnacentral:rRNA from 1 species
UACGGAGGGAGCUAGCGUUGUUCGGAAUUACUGGGCGUAAAGCGCACGUAGGCGGCUUUGUAAGUUAGAGGUGAAAGCCUGGGGCUCAACCCCAGAAUUGCCUUUAAGACUGCAUCGCUUGAAUCCAGGAGAGGUGAGUGGAAUUCCGAGUGUAGAGGUGAAAUUCGUAGAUAUUCGGAAGAACACCAGUGGCGAAGGCGGCUCACUGGACUGGUAUUGACGCUGAGGUGGCGAAAAGCGUGGGGAGCAAACAGG